rnacentral:rRNA from 1 species
AUUGAACGCUGGCGGCAUGCCUUACACAUGCAAGUCGAACGGUAACGGGCCUUCGGGUGCCGACGAGUGGCGAACGGGUGAGUAAUGCAUCGGAACGUACCUUUCAGUGGGGGAUAACGUAGCGAAAGUUACGCUAAUACCGCAUAUUCUGUGAGCAGGAAAGCAGGGGAUCGCAAGACCUUGCGCUGAUUGAGCGGCCGAUGUCAGAUUAGCUAGUUGGUGAGGUAAAGGCUCACCAAGGCGACGAUCUGUAGCGGGUCUGAGAGGAUGAUCCGCCACACUGGAACUGAGACACGGUCCAGACUCCUACGGGAGGCAGCAGUGGGGAAUUUUGGACAAUGGGGGCAACCCUGAUCCAGCCAUGCCGCGUGAGUGAAGAAGGCCUCGGGUUGGUUAAAGACGUCUUUCGGUCCGGG